rnacentral:rRNA from 1 species
UACGUAGGGUGCAAGCGUUGUCCGGAAUUAUUGGGCGUAAAGAGCUCGUAGGCGGUUUGUCGCGUCUGCUGUGAAAACCCGAGGCUCAACCUCGGGCCUGCAGUGGGUACGGGCAGACUAGAGUGCGGUAGGGAGAUUGGAAUUCCUGGUGUAGCGGUGGAAUGCGCAGAUAUCAGGAGGAACACCAAGUGGCGAAGGCAGAUCUCUGGGCCGUAACUGACGCUGAGGAGCGAAAGCAUGGGAGCGAACAGGAUUAGAACUAC